GAUGAACGCUGGCGGCGUGCUUAACACAUGCAAGUCGAACGGUGAAGCAGAGCUUGCUCUGUGGAUCAGUGGCGAACGGGUGAGUAACACGUGAGCAACCUGCCCUGGACUCUGGGAUAAGCGCUGGAAACGGCGUCUAAUACUGGAUAUGAGACGUGGCCGCAUGGUCAACGUUUGGAAAGAUUUUUUGGUUCAGGAUGGGCUCGCGGCCUAUCAGCUUGUUGGUGAGGUAAUGGCUCACCACGGCGUCGACGGGUAGCCGGCCUGAGAGGGUGACCGGCCACAAUGGGACUAAGACACGGCCCAGAAUCCUACGGGAGGCAGCAGUGGGGAAUAUUGCACAAUGGGCGAAAGCCUGAUGCAGCAACGCCGCGUGAGGGAUGACGGCCUUCGGGUUGUAAACCUCUUUUAGCAAGGAAGAAGCGAAAGUGACGGUACUUGCAGAAAAAGCGCCGGCUAACUACGUGCCAGCCGCCGCCGUAAUAC
rnacentral:rRNA from 1 species